GCUUUCUUAGCUCAGUGGUAGAGCGGACGAUUGCAGAUCGUCAGGUCAGUCGUUCGAACCGGCUAGAAAGCU
rnacentral:tRNA from 1 species